rnacentral:rRNA from 1 species
GACGAACGCUGGCGGCGUGCUUAACACAUGCAAGUCGAACGAUGAAGGAGAGCUUGCUCCCCGGAGUAGUGGCGAACGGGUGAGUAACACGUGACUAACCUGCCCCAUUCUCUGGGAUAACGCUCCGAAAGGAGUGCUAAUACCGGAUACGAACUCUGAACACAUGUUCGGAGUUGGAAAGUUUUUCGGAAAGGGAUGGGGUCGCGGCCUAUCAGCUUGUUGGUGAGGUAACGGCUCACCAAGGCGACGACGGGGAGCCGGCCUGAGAGGGCGGCCGGCCACACUGGGACUGAGACACGGACCAGACUCCUACGGGAGGCAGCAGUGGGGAAUAUUGCACAAUGGGCGAAAGCCUGAUGCAGCGACGCCGCGUGAGGGAUGAAGGUCUUCGGAUUGUAAACCUCUUUCAGUAGGGACGAAGCGAAAGUGACGGUACCUAAAGAAGAAGCACCGGCUAACUACGUGCCAGCAGCCGCGGUAA